rnacentral:rRNA from 1 species
GACGAACGCUGGCGGCGUGCUUAACACAUGCAAGUCGAGCGGUAAGGCCCUUUCGGGGGUACACGAGCGGCGAACGGGUGAGUAACACGUGGGUGACCUGCCCUUAGCUCUGGGAUAAGCCUGGGAAACUGGGUCUAAUACCGGAUAUGACUCCAUGACGCAUGUUGGUGGGGUGGAAAGCCUUGUGCGGCUAGGGAUGGGCCUGCGGCCUAUCAGCUUGUUGGUGGGGUGAUGGCCUACCAAGGCGACGACGGGUAGCCGGCCUGAGAGGGCGACCGGCCACACUGGGACUGAGACACGGCCCAGACUCCUACGGGAGGCAGCAGUGGGGAAUCUUGCGCAAUGGGCGAAAGCCUGACGCAGCGACGCCGCGUGGGGAUGACGGCCU